UACGGAAGGCAGCAGUAGGGAAUCUUCCGCAAUGGACGAAAGUCUGACGGAGCAACGCCGCGUGAACGAUGAAGGCUUUCGGGUCGUAAAGUUCUGUUGUUAGGGAAGAACAAGUACCGGAGUAACUGCCGGUACCUUGACGGUACCUAACCAGAAAAGCCACGGCUAACUACGUGCCAGCAGCCGCGGUAAUACGUAGGUGGCAAGCGUUGUCCGGAAUUAUUGGGCGUAAAGCGCGCGCAGGCGGUCCUUUUAAGUCUGAUGUGAAAGCCCACGGCUCAACCGUGAGGGUCAUUGGAAACUGGGGACUUGAGUGCAGAAGAGGAGAGUGGAAUUCCACGUGUAGCGGUGAAAUGCGUAGAGAUGUGGAGGAACACCAGGUGGCGAAAGGCGACUCUCUGGUCUGCAACUGACGCUGAGGCGCGAAAGCGUGGGGAGCGAACAGGGAUUAGAUACC
rnacentral:rRNA from 1 species